ensembl:lncRNA
GGGGGGAUGGCUUCAAUUCUACAACUAAUAUAACAGAGGUGUUUUAACUUUGCUGUCUGACACUGUGUCAGACAGCGUCUGAGACGUCAUCUCACCGCGGGGUUGGGGGAGGAGCCUGGCUUGGUGCUCUUGUGGACCCAGCGGUUAAUGCGAUCCGAGAUGCCAGACGUGAAGGUGCGGAACUCCUGUAGAUGCAAUGAACACUAUAAGUGACCUGUCUGGAGACUCCAGGGCUGGUGGGGCUGGAGGCCUGGUGCUCCUUCUCAAACAGAUCCCUCUUCCUUGACACCUCUUCCAGGGAACUUUAGGCGACCUGUGAGGCCUGAGCCAGUCGCUCCAUCUUCUCCUGGAUGGAGCGGGAGGACACCCUCUGUCUGGUGCUGGUCCGACGGAGAGGAGAGGCACAAACACACCUUUAGAAUCCCCACCAUACAGCCGUGGCUGUAUGUUUUCACUUUAUAAAUUUGGACUACUUAAAAUGUUGAAUGGAAUAAGCUUCAGAAUGAGUACAUAGAGGUGUACGUAAAAUCAGCUGAUCAUAAGAAAGACUUACUUCCUCUGGAAAUUCGACGUUUUCUCAUCUUCUUGAUUUGGGUCCUUGAAAGAUGAGUCAUGCAGUACAAUUCAAAUGUUAAUGCUUCACAACUUCACGAUAAGAUAUAACGUCAUCAGGUCGGGUAAUGCAAUGAGAUGCAUCACCCCAUGAAUAAAAACAGGAUUGUAAGAC